rnacentral:rRNA from 1 species
AAAUAGAACUUUGCAGAGAGAGUUAACAGGGCGUGAAACCGUUAAUUGGCAAACGAAUCGGAGCCACGAAGUCGUUUCGUAGUUAGUUGGUGGCGGAGUUCAGUUCAUCUGGCGCAAGCUGGAUGGGCGUAUUCUCACGCUCAACUAUCUUUGUAAGCGUACACUGCAACCAGUUAGACGAUCAGUCGUGGGCUGAGUGUCGUUCGCGGUAGUAGUAGCGCGGUUGAGCUCCGGCUCUUCUCGUGUUGCUGGCCGCGUGACGAGUGAACUACGGCUGAAUACUGACUGGCGAAAUGAAAACCGUUGAAAAACGUUAGAGAAAAGGCGGUUGGUAACAUGUGCGCCUACACGUUUGACUGUCGAGUCUAAGCUUGGCGUCUUUGAAUUCAGACUUGCUUGCUACCAGUGGGGCAACUCCUGGUGCUUGUAUAGCUUCUGUCUAAUCGGGCGUCGACUUGGCGCGGCAUCGUUUAGGCGUGCUAUGAUCGGGUGUGCAUGUUAACUAAUUCGCAAUCUGAAUUGGCAGUGAGUAGGUCGGCUUUCCGAACGACCCGUCUUGAAACACGGACCAAGGAGUCUAAUUAGGCAUCGAGUCGAUUGGUCUUGAAUAGGCCAGAAAGUGAGUUUCCUUGCGAUUGAAGGCGUAGAGACAAUCGUGUGAUCGUUGGCAACAACAGCCACUGCGCGCAACAUGUGCCUGUUCGUAUAGCAAUGUAGCAAUAAUUGCUGGGCGGAGCAAAGAGAUGCUUGAUUGGGACCCGAAAGAUGGUGAUGCCUGGGCAAAUUGAAGCCAGAGGAAACUCUGGUGGAGGAUUGUAGCGAUUCUGACGUGCAAAUCGAUCGUCAGACCUGGGUAUAGGGGCGAAAGACUAAUCGAACCAUC